GCAGAAGGAGGAGCGGCGACGUGUAGAGGAGCAACAGCGGCGAGAGCGAGAACAGCGCAAGCUGCAGGAGAAGGAGCAGCAGCGGCGGUUGGAAGACAUGCAAGCCCUUCGUCGAGAGGAAGAGAGGCGGCAAGCAGAGCGGGAACAGGAAUACAAGCGGAAGCAGCUGGAGGAGCAGCGGCAGUCGGAGCGGCUCCAGAGACAGCUGCAGCAGGAGCAUGCCUACCUCAAGUCCCUGCAGCAGCAGCAGCAACAGCAGCAGCAGCUCCAGAAACAACAGCAGCAGCAGCAGCAGCAGCAGCAGCAGCAGCAGCAGCAGCAGAUCCUACCUGGAGACAGGAAACCCCUGUAUCAUUAUGGUCGGGGCAUUAAUCCUGCUGACAAGCCAGCAUGGGCCCGAGAGGUGGAAGAGAGAGCUCGGAUGAACAAGCAGCAGAACUCUCCCUUGGCCAAGACAAAGCCAAGCAGUGCGGGGCCAGAGCCCCCCAUUCCCCAGGCCUCUCCUAGCCCCCCAGGACCUCUUUCCCAAACUCCUCCUAUGCAGAGGCCUGUGGAGCCUCAGGAAGGACCACACAAGAGCCUGGUGGCACACCGGGUCCCACUGAAGCCAUAUGCAGCACCUGUACCCCGAUCCCAGUCCCUGCAGGACCAACCCACUCGAAACUUGGCUGCCUUCCCAGCCUCCCACGACCCUGACCCUGCUGCUGUCCCCACACCCACUGCCACACCCAGUGCCCGAGGAGCUGUCAUCCGCCAGAAUUCAGACCCCACCUCUGAAGGGCCUGGGCCUAGCCCUAACCCUCCAUCCUGGGUCCGGCCUGAUAAUGAAGCUCCACCCAAGGUUCCUCAGAGGACCUCGUCUAUUGCCACUGCCCUUAACACCAGUGGGGCUGGAGGGUCCCGGCCAGCUCAGGCUGUCCGUGCCAGUAACCCUGACCUCAGGAGGAGUGACCCUGGCUGGGAGCGUUCAGACAGUGUCCUCCCUGCCUCCCACGGCCACCUCCCUCAGGCCGGCUCCUUGGAGCGGAACCGAAACCGUGUGGGAGCCUCCACAAAACUGGACAGCUCCCCAGUGCUCUCCCCUGGGAACAAGGCCAAGCCUGAAGACCACCGCUCAAGGCCAGGCCGGCCCGCAAGCUAUAAGCGAGCGAUUGGUGAGGAUUUCGUGUUGCUCAAAGAGCGGACUCUGGAUGAGGCCCCUAAGCCUCCCAA
rnacentral:lncRNA from 1 species